rnacentral:rRNA from 1 species
UACGUAGGGACCAAGCGUUGUUCGGAUUUACUGGGCGUAAAGGGCGCGUAGGCGGCGCGGUAAGUCACUUGUGAAAUCUCUGAGCUUAACUCAGAACGGCCAAGUGAUACUGCAGUACUAGAGUGUGGAAGGGGCAAUCGGAAUUCUUGGUGUAGCGGUGAAAUGCGUAGAUAUCAAGAGGAACACCUGAGGUGAAGACGGGUUGCUGGGCCAACACUGACGCUGAGAAGCGAAAGCAUGGGGAGCGAACAGG